CGAGGCAAGGAGCAGCGGAAGCUGGCACGACAGAGGAGCCGGGCAUGGCUGAAAGAGGGCGGUGGGGACGAGCCCCUCAACUUCCUGGAUCCCAAGGUGGCCCAACGAGUCCUGGCCACGCAGCCAGGGCCAGGCCGGGGCAGGAAGAAGGACCACGGCUUCAAGGUGAGCGCCGAUGGCCGGCUGAUCAUAAGGGAGGAGGCAGACGGCAACAAGAUGGAGGAAGAGGAAGGUGCCAAAGGUGGGCCCAACGCGCUUGUCCAUUCAUUCACCGUGUUCACUUAUUCCUUCGGUGAUCACUUGCUGAGGAAGCGUGGCUAAAAACAGACCAGAGAAACUCUUCUCUCGGCAGCUUCCUCAAACUUUUUGAGUUUCUCAAACUUUUUUUGAGAAACAUUAAGAAAUCUUUUUAUGUUGUAACCGAGCCAUUUAUACAAUACAUAUUUAACUUAAAGGAAA
rnacentral:lncRNA from 1 species